GCGAGGUGCCAGCGGGCGUGCCCGGCGGGACGCUGCUGCCCUGAUCCUCCCUGCGCCUUCCUCGCCCUCCUCCGCAGGCUGCUUCCCUAGCCCGGGUGGGUGGGUGUCUCCACAGCUCCCGCUGCCCCUCCAGCUGGGCACAGGAGUUCUGUGCACCCGGGGACACCCAGGGAGAGAACUUCAACAAGGCGAAGGGCAAAACUCGGCCACGGGGGAGGAACAAUUCAGGCGCCUGGACAGAACAAAGGAUCUGUUCAGCCAGUUCCUGUAAAACUCCAGGAUUCUGAGAGAAUCUGGAAGGGAGCUAGUUCAUAGCAUACAUAGUGUGCUUUGUUGUAUCUGCAUCAGCAAAGUAGAUAAGCUCAGCCUCUCUUCAUCUGAAAAGGGAACAGAGGAGCAGCAGCAGGAGACAGUGCAAUGCUUCAGGAUAUUGUGAAGAUUUCAGGCAACAAGACGACUUUCAGCUGUAUCCAACACUCCAGCUGUGUUUGAUUUGCCUCUUAAUCAGAGAUUUCAAAAAUCAGGCUCCAUCUGCUAAAGAAUUCAAAGAUCCUGGAUUUGAGAGGCUAUUUAUGAACAUCAAACUGUGGUCCAUUUCUCCCUGGAGUAUCAUGCAGAUGUGCAGCUGCACAGCUGCAGCUCUUCAACACCAGUGGAAGUGUGAGCUAUCCACAGACACCAGUAAAAAGCCAGGCCCAUGCAGGCCACACAAGGACCUGCAUCUAUAUCCAGAGCAAAAACUCCACAGUUGUCUCAAGGGAGCAAAGUUUCUCUCAUGCCUGAUUCAUAACCAGAAGAGAAUUUCUCAGAAAUUGGAUUUUAGCAUUUGUCAGCCACAAGUUGUCAACCAAGCCUAUUUUCUCCUGGAAUCACAAUGAAAGAACGUCAUUAAGAUUACCUGGUUUCCCUUGCAUGUGUCAGCUGCAAAGAAAUGACCAGGAGGUACUGUUUACCUUUCUCAGUGUAUGAAUGGAUAGAGGAAUCCGAAUUAUGAGAAAAAAAUUAAUACUUGCCCACCUUCUGAUCUGUGGAAUUAAAGACUCCCUAGCAUACAAUGAGAGGCUACAAUGGCACAGCUCAUGUGGGUAAUAAUGGCUUUGGUGUGACCUUCACAACCUGAAGACAAGUGAGGGAAAUUGUGCUGAAAUAACCUGAAGAUGGCUGGAGUUGUGAAAAGCACUCGAUCAAAUGAAGGAAAAUACAUGCAGAAGCAUGUGCUGCCCAUCAGUCAUCAACAAUGACUGAAUAUCAAAGGAGCCUACACAUGUAUUUUUAAAGUAAAACAUCUUCUGAUUAAAAAUAUUUAUAAUUAAAUGUAUUCAGUGGAAUGCAUGCUAUUUUCUUUUGUUAAAUUUUAAGUCAUUUCAAUAGAAACUUAAAGCCUUUAACAUAAUUUUAAAUAUGGUUUAGAUACAGAGUUUUGUUAGAAAUACCAGAAAUUGCUAUUACACCUUUUAGACAAAAAUGUAGGGUAGGUUAUCUGCUAAUAUCUUGGUGGAAAAAGAUUAUUUCUGCAACACUGUCUCUAAGAUAUCCUCAACUCAGAUCCUUUAGGAACUCUGCUGACUUCCAGAGUCUUAGUUCCAUACUUUCUACAGCCAUCAAAAAACAUCAAUAAGGGUGUAGGAAAAAGAAAAAAAAAUCAUUAUUACAAAAAUAGAAGAAGAAAAGAAAUUUAAAAUGUUAUUUUAAACCAUUAAAUACAUCUGACUAGAAAAAAAAUGUGACCAAGCUUGCCUACUCCUAUUCCUUUUCAAGCAAACCAGUUUCCUUAAAGUUGUCUCACUUCCAGCUGUGAGUAAACAGGAAGUCUUCACGAUUAUUUUCACUUCUGUGAGACUGUGUGGCAACUUUAGCUUCCACUUUCUCUUUCUGAAAGCAUUGCCAGAACAACUUUUAAAAGAUAUCUAAAAAGAGUUAAGAAAAAAACUGUCUCUAAAGUAAAAAAAUACUGAAAAUUUACCUUGAUGUCAGUUUAAGUAGGCUUUUGCAUGGAUCUCUGACAUUGUUUAGCACUACUACUCCAUGCUUUUGUUAAUCUUGUUACACAAGCACAUAUUUUUUAAUGCUCCUGAGAAUAAUAAUAAUUUUUUAAAAAUCAACAUAUCUUUCCAAUUGUUUUUUAGGCAUUUCAAGGUCAUUUCAAGGAUCCUACUGUUUUCCCUGUUUUUUAUGGGAAAAGUAUAUUAAAAUUCAUCACACGCUGUCUUAUCAAACUGUUUAUUAUUACAUCAAGGCAGUGAAAAACAAGGUUAUUUGCAAGGAAAAACAGGGUGAAAUUAUAACAGUGGCAAAGGCCAUAAGUAAACAAGCAGGGAUAAAGCAGACAUCAUGCAAAUAUUUCCAGGGGAGCAAGAACCUAAAAUAUGAAUAUAGCUGGAAACUCUAGAACUAUACUUUUUGUUGCACUGUCUUAAAAAUGUAGUCUCAAGAUUAUAUUUUGAAUACAGAAAAUUUUCACUUCCAAAAAUUACUUACCAAUGUAAUUGAACUGUAAUAAAACAUUCUAUAAUCACAGUGA